UCAUGAUCAGCGGCGGACGGGUGAGUAACACGUGAGCAACCUGCCUUUCAGAGGGGGACAACAGUUGGAAACGACUGCUAAUACCGCAUAACAUUGCCGAACGGCAUCGUUUGGCAAUCAAAGGAGCAAUCCGCUGAAAGAUGGGCUCGCGUCUGAUUAGAUAGUUGGUGAGGUAACGGCUCACCAAGUCGACGAUCAGUAGCCGGACUGAGAGGUUGAUCGGCCACAUUGGGACUGAGACACGGCCCAGACUCC
rnacentral:rRNA from 1 species